rnacentral:rRNA from 1 species
CCAGCAGCCGCGGUAAUACGAAGGGGGCUAGCGUUGCUCGGAAUCACUGGGCGUAAAGGGUGCGUAGGCGGGUCUUUAAGUCAGGGGUGAAAUCCUGGAGCUCAACUCCAGAACUGCCUUUGAUACUGAGGAUCUUGAGUUCGGGAGAGGUGAGUGGAACUGCGAGUGUAGAGGUGAAAUUCGUAGAUAUUCGCAAGAACACCAGUGGCGAAGGCGGCUCACUGGCCCGGUACUGACGCUGAGGUGCGAAAGCGUGGGGAGCAAACAGGAUUAGAUACCC